rnacentral:rRNA from 1 species
ACUAUCUAACUGAAAUCACAAAAUCACAAAUGGUGCUUAUUGUGAUAACGUAAGGGAAAAAAUUGAUAUCACCUUACUAUAAGUGUUGUCUAAAUAACUGGUGCCAGAAGACUCGGUAACACCAGAAACGCGAACGUUAGUCGUCUUAAACAGGCGUAAAGGGUAAGUAGGCUGCUUUAAAUAUCUAAUUUUAAAUAAGCUAAUUAAUAAUUUAACCUAAAAUUUUUCAGACCUUAAUUUAUAAUUUAAGGCUAACUAAUAAUGAAAAAAGGUAAUUAUUAGUUUUUCUAAUAAUUAUAAUUAUUAAAUUAAAAAAAUAGAUACACUUAAAGCUAGAAUCAUAAUUGAGAUAAACCAAAUAAUACUUAUGUGUAAGGGCGAUAUCUGAAAAUACUAAGUAGAAUACUAACGGUGAAAACUUUUUAUCUAGGAAUGAUUGACGCUGAGGUACGAAAGUGAGAACAGGGAAUAGGAUUAGAUACCCAGUUACCUCUCACCGUCAACGAUGAAUGGUAGUUGUUAGUUUAAUUAAAUUAGUGACGAUGUUAACGCGAUAACCAUUCCGCCUUGAGAGUACGGUUGCAAAACUGAAACCAAACAAAUUAGUCGGUCUCGGAGCAAACGGAGCUGAAGCA